AGCAAAUUUCUUUAAGGCCCCACCCUUUACAGAGAAACAUGGAUGUCAACGACAGAUUUCCCCGUAAGUUUCUUCCUUUCCCUUUUCCCUCCUCUCCUCAUCUCUCAUUUUACGUUGAUAAACCCUGAUUUAAAUGGAGAGAACCUGUAACCUACCCUAUAAACUGGCUGGCAACACCCUAAAGAUCAGACAGCAGGAUCUUCAUUCAAGCUCCCAUGACAUCUCCUUUCCCUUGAUCAAGAUUCCACUGCCCACCCUGAUGGCCAAAGAGACAGAAGAUGUAGCCUAAUGUGUGUGUGUGCAUCUGUUGUGUGUGUUUAUAUGUGUGUGUUUUUGUACAUGUUGCGUGGGUGCUCACUGGCUGACCCACAUCUGUUGUGUGUGUUUAUAUGUGUGUGUUUUUGUACAUGUUGCGUGGGUGCUCGCUCACUGGCUGACCCACAUCUGUUGUGUGUGUUUAUAUGUGUGUGUUUUUGUACAUGUUGCGUGGGUGCUCACUGGCUGACCCACAGCAGUUCUUCACUGGCAAGCUUUAUGUCCUUGUGUACCAACUAAAGCUGCCAGCUGAAGAACUGUUGUGGUUAGCUCUUUCCUGCAUCCCACACAAAAGACCAACAGACGCCUUCGAGAAAUAUGUGUGUAUGUGUGUGUGUCCAGAUGCCAUGCAUGGGAUCAGUGAAUUCUCCAUCCAGAUGAUCCAUAUAGCAACCUGUCAUGGUAGCAGUGUACAGCAUGUUUAGAGGUAAACACAGCAUACAAGAAGCCUAUGGCUAAAACAGAAUAGCUAGCUAUCCAAGACAUCUGUUAUGACGCAAUAGGUCUCAGUUAAGAACACAUGAACCCAAUGCACUCAAAUGUAAUGUUUUCAUUAAGUAGGAAGUAUGAAAAAUGCUUACAAACUAUGAAAUAUGUUUACUAAGUAUGAAGUUUGCUUACUAAAUAUGAAGUAUGAUCACGAAGUAGGAAGUACGCUUACUUGAAGUAUGCUUACUGAAGAUUUUACUGUAUGUGUGCUGUAUUUUGCUCUAUUUACAGUAUGUUGUAUUUAGCUUUAUCUAUGUUUACUCAACAGAGUUGUAUCUAUGCUGUCAUGUACAAUGUGAGAUCUUUUGUACCAAACAAUCAGCAUCAACUUCCCCCACAAAUGGCCGCUGUAUUCUACUCAGGCAUUAACAGAGACGACUGCACAUUGUUGCUACUGUACAUGCGGAGUCAGCCAACAUUCCACACCCCAGCCAGGACCCACCUGCUGCCCUUUUAUGGGUUGAAGGUUAGGAGGGCAUCAUGGGUGCUGCAUUGUAUAUCAGAAAAAAACAUUUCUUGGUUAAUUUCUUAUGCUACUCAAAACCAAGAAAAAGUAGAAGGAUAGGAAGGUAGAUGGACUGGCUACUCAAAAGCUAGAAGUAUGUAAAAUCAUAGGAUGAUUGAUGUAGGGAAGAACGAUACAGUAUGAUAGAUUUGGGAAAGAGAGAAGGAUAGGAGGAUAGAUGGAGGCAAAGAGGACAAGAAAAGAGGUUGGGAGGAUAGAUUGAGGGACGAUCAAGAGGAUAGAUGGAGGGAAGGUUGGGAGGAUAGAUGGAGGGACGAUCAAGAGGAUAGAUGGAGGGAAGGUUAGGAGGAUAGAUGGAGGGAUGAUCAAGAGGAUAGAUGGAGGGAAGGUUAGGAGGAUAGAUGGAGGGAAGGUUAGGAGGAUAGAUGGAGGGACGAUCAAGAGGAUAGAUAGAUGGAGGGAAGGUUAGGAGGAUAGAUGGAGGGAUGAUCAAGAGGAUAGAUGGAGGGAAGGUUGGGAGGAUAGAAUGAUGGAUGAAAGGGAAAGAAGGAGGGAGGGAGAACAAGGCAAGGACAUACAACAAACAGCCUCCUGACAUGCUAGUAAAAGGAGAAGUGUGGCUUUGUUCCAGACUGUUGUGUGUGUGUGUGUUCUCUGGAGCAGAGCCCACUGUUCUGACAUGUGUUUCUGUUUAUUAAUGAGUCUGGAGGCGCUGCCAAUGAGUGAUGAGUUUCCUUUCUAUCUCCCUCUGUUCUCCUUUUCUCUGUCCUCUCUUUCUCUGUCUCUGUCUGUCUCUCUCUCUCUCUCUUUGACCUCUUUCUCUCUCUCUGUGUCACACACACCCACAUGCACACAUACACACAUGCACACACAAUAUUGUACAGCUAACCCUGUGGGGAUACACAAUUCAGUCCCAUUCAAAGUUCUAUUUUCCCUAAUCCCUAACCCUAAAUGAAACCCUAACCUUAACCGUAACCCAAAAACCGAACCUAACUCUAACCCUAAAACUAACCUUAGCUCCUAACCAUAAGCCUUAACGUAAUUCUAACCCUAACACUAAAUCUAACCUUAAUCAUAAACCCCUUAGAAAUAGCAUUUGAACUUGUGGGGACUAACAAAAUAUCCACAGUUGGUCACAUUUUUGUUGUUUACAAUUCUUGUGGGGACUUCUGUUAAACACGUCCACACCCACACACACACUACAUCCCAGCGCCUGACCCUCAGCACGCCAUAAAUCUGACUUCAAGGGCGGUGUCGACGUUGGCGAGAACAGGAUAUGAGAGCGUGGCCCUCUCAAAAUCUUCCCUCCAGAUGAGAACAAAAUGUAGAGAAUGUUCCAGAUGCCGCGGCCGCUACAGUCUAGGAACAUGUGGAGCCAAGAGCUGGAAAACGAGCAGCCCUUCCUAUCUUUUCCCCCUUCUUUCCAUGCAUUUUCUCUCUGUUGUCUAACUUAUCCGUCUCUGAUUUUGGGCUGUUGGUAGGCUAGCUUUUUGUUUCGUACUGUUAUCUCUUUGAUAGUGUCUCCUUAUCUUGUUGUCUUGUCACUCUCCUCUUCCUUCCUCUUCUGUCUAGCAUCUUAAAACACACACACAUUGAGGUAGAGACAAUCACACACACACAAACAUACAUAUGUACAAACACACAAAGACAGAGUGACACACACACACACAUCCCUCAGACAGGAUUAUCCCACUCUCACAAGUUGAUCCUCUCUAGCAAGCACUGCCAGUCCCCUCUGAGCAUGGAACAGAAGCACUGCUGUCAGGGCAGAGCUGUGACCUAGAGAGUAGUAUGUCUGUGUGUGUGUGUGGGUCUCUGUUUUUGUGUGUGUAUCCCUCUGUGUGUUUGUGUGUGUGUGUGUCUCCCGUUGUUUGUUUGGGUGUGUCAGGUCACAGGCCAAGGUCUCCAACCUGAUCCGCUCUGAGGCAAUCGGCCUGCGAGUGCAUUAAGAGAUUGCGGGGGGGGGUGCCGAGCCGAGGCGAGGCUCACUGGCUCGACUUAAAGACAUACACAUAAUCCUGUCUGCUCUGCUGUGGUCUGCUCCACCUGACAAGGAUACGUGUGGCAGGUGUGUCUGUCAGGGACUGUGUGUGUGUGUGUGUGUGUGUGUGUGUGUGUGUGUGUGUGUGUGUGUGUGUGUGUGUGUGUUUGUGCUUGUGUGCGUAUCCUCUCUGAGCUGUACCCCACCUACGCCCUCUCAGGCGUGCCCCUGUCCUUGGACACCCUUACCCGCCCUAGAGUCACUUCAUCUGCCAACUGGAGAAAGAGAGAGAGAGAUAAGGAGGGGUACACAGAGAGAGGGAGAGCGAGACAGAGAGCGAGACAGAGGUAGUCAGACAGAUGGAGGGAGAGAGGGAACCAGCCAGUAGAGAAACGUGACAGGACAGAGGUUACCCCACACCCUCAUGUCAUCCUUCCCAGCCUGACCACACAAAGCACGGUCAGUUAGCUAUAGUCACAAAGCACACCAACACUUAACCAUGCAUUUAAACUAUGGACGCUUGAGAUCUGCAAGUGUACGGUAUGUGUUUUGAUAUGCUAUAAAAUGCUAUGUAUAAUAAGGUAUGCUACAUAAUUCCACUGUAUGUCACUUGGGACUGUGUUCAUUUUCAUAAUAAAUGGAAUUGCACAGAGAGAAAA